rnacentral:misc_RNA from 1 species
AAAGUAUACAAUUUUGAGUAAUAAGAACAGAAAUCAAAAGUAACUAUUGUAUGCUGUAUUUUAGUAGAGCAACACUGAAGAAGAAAGAAAACAAGAAAUAAUAUUAAAUAUGAACAUAUGGAGAACAGAAUAAUAUUUUUAAAAUUUUUAGUUUCUAAGCUUAUCUGAAAUUUUAAUUUUCUUUUCUUAUGUAAUACCAGAGUUAUUAGGAAGGUAUUAUCUAAUAACACUAUUUUCAGUGAUAUUUUAAGUAGUUGUCCUAGAAAAAUUUCUAUCUUUUAAAAAUGUAUAUUUAAAAAUACAUUAAAUGUGUAUAUACAUCAAUCAUAUGUAUCGAUUUCUGUUUUUCUUGAAUUGCAAAUGAAAUUUGUAUUUUUGUGUUCCUGGAAUAAAAUAAACUCGAAUGGGUCGUAAUAUAUUAUUCAUGCUGUAAUUCAACGUAUUUGAAUACUUUAAGAAUGUUACAUUUAUAGUUAACAGAUACUGACCUAUAAAUUUUCUGUCAUAUAAUGAUGCUGUGAGACAAUCUGAGAAGAAUUAAAAUUUAAAUUCAUGUAUUCCUACUUUUUUCUCUGUUCUCUAACUGUAAAAUAUUUUCAUUACAGAUGGAGGAACAAAUAGAUGUUAGAUAAAUAGAUAUAUAAUAGAUCAUCCAAAAUUCUUAUUCUUAUGGUUUUAUGUAGUCAGUAUUUACCUCUAUUUUUCUACAUGUUUAUCCUUCCAAUUUAGUUCAUUACUUCCUGCACCUUUGAUGUCAUAUACAUAAACAGGAAAUAACACAUGGUGGCUGGGAUGUAGAGAGAGCCACAGGACUUGUGAAUGAAAUCCACAGGCAAGGAUGUGGCGAUUCCUUUUGCAAUAUUGGAGGGAAUGCCAAACCCUAUGUUUGCUGUGGAAAAGAGUAUGGUAGUUCCUCAAAACAUCAAAAUGGUAUUGCCUUAUGAUUCAGCAGACCCACAUCCCAAGACAGCAAAAGAAUUGAAAGCAGAGUCUUGAAAAAAUAUUUGCACAUCCAUGUUUGCAGCAGCAUUAUUGGCAAUAGCUAAAACGUAGAAGCAAUUGAACUGUCCAACAACAGAUGAAUGGAUGAGCAAAACAUGAUAUAUACAUACAAUGGAAAAUUAUUCAGCCUUAAACGAGGGAAAUAUUCUGACAUAUGUUGCAACUUGGAUGAAACUUGAGGAUAUUAUGCCAAGUGAAAUAAGUUAGUCAGUGAAGGACAAAUACAGUAUAAUUCCAUAUGUAUAAGGGACUUGAAGUGGACAGAAUCAUAGAGAUAGUACAAUGAUGGUUGCCAGAAGCUGGGGGGAGGAAGAAAUGGGGAAGUAUUGUUUAAUGGGUAUAGUUUCAGUUUUACAAGAUGAAACGAAUUAUGGAGAUGGAUGGUAGGGAUGGCUGCACAAUGUUAUGACUAUAUUUAGUACCACUGAACUGUACACUUAAAAUGUUUAACAGAGUACAUUUUAUGUUUUAUGUAUCUUACCACAAUAAAAAAAUAAAAUACCUUAGGAACAUUUUCCUGAAAGAGUCCACAUAAAAUUCAUUUUAAUGCAUGUGUUUAUGCAUAGCUUUCUAUUUUUCUCUUUUCUCUUUACAUUCCAAAUUAGAAUAUAAUGCUAAUCAAGUAUAGUGGCUGCGUUUCUUUCUUCCUCUAGUCUGCAGGUAGCAUACAAAUGUAAUAAAGUACUCAUUCAUGUCACAUCUAUUUAUUUUCUGCCUUAUACCAAGCUUGUGGGAUUCUCUUAAAUACAACAUUUUUAUACUUACACCUAUGCAAUACCCAUUAGCAUCGCCUUCCUAAAUCAGGGGAAAUUGAGUCUCUGUAAGGUGCAGUAACUUACUAAGAUACAAAACUCAGCAUUAAAGUCUGUAUACUUCAAUAUCCUGCCCUCUUCUCAUUUGUCUUUACUGCCUUUUAUGUAUGUGUUAGAUGUUCAAUAAAUUCUCUUUUUUAAACUGAA